GUGCAGCAGGCGCGAAUUUUUCACAAUGGGGAAACCCUGAUGGAGCGACGCCGCGUGGAGGAUGAAGGCGUUUUCGUCGUAAACUCCUGUCAUGCGAGAACAAGAAAGUGAUAGUAUCGCAAGAGGAAGAGGCGGCUAACUCUGUGCCAGCAGCCGCGGUAAUACAGAGGCCUCAAGCGUUGUUCGGAUUCAUUGGGCGUAAAGGGUGCGUAGGUGGCAUGGUAAGUUGAAGGUGAAAUCUCGGAGCUCAACUCCGAAACUGCCUUCAAUACUGCUGUGCUCGAGGACUGUAGAGGAGAAUGGAAUUCACGGUGUAGCAGUGAAAUGCGUAGAUAUCGUGAGGAAGACCAGUGGCGAAGGCGAUUCUCUGGGCAGUUCCUGACACUGAGGCACGAAGGCUAGGGGAGCAAACGGGAUUA
rnacentral:rRNA from 1 species